rnacentral:rRNA from 1 species
GAUGAACGCUGGCGGCGUGCCUAAUACAUGCAAGUCGAGCGAACGGACGAGAAGCUUGCUUCUCUGAUGUUAGCGGCGGACGGGUGAGUAACACGUGGAUAACCUACCUAUAAGACUGGGAUAACUUCGGGAAACCGGAGCUAAUACCGGAUAAUAUUUUGAACCGCAUGGUUCAAAAGUGAAAGACGGUCUUGCUGUCACUUAUAGACGGAUCCGCGCUGCAUUAGCUAGUUGGUAAGGUAAUGGCUUACCAAGGCAACGAUGCAUAGCCGACCUGAGAGGGUGAUCGGCCACACUGGAACUGAGACACGGUCCAGACUCCUACGGGAGGCAGCAGUAGGGAAUCUUCCGCAAUGGGCGAAAGCCUGACGGAGCAACGCCGCGUGAGUGAUGAAGGUCUUCGGAUCGUAAAACUCUGUUAUUAGGGAAGAACAUAUGUGUAAGUAACUGUGCACAUCUUGACGGUACCUAAUCAGAAAGCCACGGCUAACUACGUG